rnacentral:tRNA from 10 species
GCGGGCAUAGCUCAGGGGUAGAGCACAACCUUGCCAAGGUUGGGGUCGAGGGUUCGAAUCCCUUUGCCCGCUCCA